rnacentral:rRNA from 1 species
CCAAUGGGCGCAAGCCUGACCCAGCAACGCCGCUUGGAGGAUGAAGGUCUUGGAUUGUAAACUCCUUUUGAGGGGGACGAGCAGUGACGGUACCCCUCGAAUCAGUGACGCUAACUACGUGCCAGCAGCCGCGGUAAUACGGAGGGGGCAACCGUUGUCCGGAUUUUUUGGCGUAAAGCGCAGGUAGGCGGUCUUUUUCGUCGUUACUGAAAGUACCCGGCUUAACCGGUAAGGCGUGGCGAUACGGCAAGGCUCGAGGCAGCCAGAGGUUGGUGGAAUUCCGAGUGAGCGGUGAAAUGCGUAGAGCUUCGGAGGAACACCAGUGGCGAAGGCGACUAACUGGGGCGUCCUGACGCUGAGGUGCGAAAGCGUGGGGAGCAAACAGCAUUAGAAACCCCGGUAGUCUACCCGUAAACGAUGGAUGAUAGGUGUUGGCGGAUUUAACCCCGUCAGUGCCGUAGCUACGCGUUAAGUCUCCCGCCUGGGGACUACGGUCGCAAGACUAAAACUCAAAUGAAUUGACGGG